GGUUAAGCGACUAAGCGUACACGGUGGAUGCCCUGGCAGUCAGAGGCGAUGAAGGACGUGCUAAUCUGCGAUAAGCGUCGGUGAGGUGAUAUGAACCGUUAUAACCGGCGAUUUCCGAAUGGGGAAACCCAGUGUGUUUCGACACACUAUCAUUAACUGAAUCCAUAGGUUAAUGAGGCGAACCGGGGGAACUGAAACAUCUAAGUACCCCGAGGAAAAGAAAUCAACCGAGAUUCCCCCAGUAGCGGCGAGCGAACGGGGAGGAGCCCAGAGCCUGAAUCAGUGUGUGUGUUAGUGGAAGCGUCUGGAAAGGCGUGCGAUACAGGGUGACAGCCCCGUACACAAAAAUGCACAUAUUGUGAGCUCGAUGAGUAGGGCGGGACACGUGGUAUCCUGUCUGAAUAUGGGGGGACCAUCCUCCAAGGCUAAAUACUCCUGACUGACCGAUAGUGAACCAGUACCGUGAGGGAAAGGCGAAAAGAACCCCGGCGAGGGGAGUGAAAAAGAACCUGAAACCGUGUACGUACAAGCAGUGGGAGCCUCUUAAUGGGGUGACUGCGUACCUUUUGUAUAAUGGGUCAGCGACUUAUAUUCUGUAGCAAGGUUAACCGAAUAGGGGAGCCGAAGGGAAACCGAGUCUUAACUGGGCGUUAAGUUGCAGGGUAUAGACCCGAAACCCGGUGAUCUAGCCAUGGGCAGGUUGAAGGUUGGGUAACACUAACUGGAGGACCGAACCGACUAAUGUUGAAAAAUUAGCGGAUGACUUGUGGCUGGGGGUGAAAGGCCAAUCAAACCGGGAGAUAGCUGGUUCUCCCCGAAAGCUAUUUAGGUAGCGCCUCGUGAAUUCAUCUCCGGGGGUAGAGCACUGUUUCGGCAAGGGGGUCAUCCCGACUUACCAACCCGAUGCAAACUGCGAAUACCGGAGAAUGUUAUCACGGGAGACACACGGCGGGUGCUAACGUCCGUCGUGAAGAGGGAAACAACCCAGACCGCCAGCUAAGGUCCCAAAGUCAUGGUUAAGUGGGAAACGAUGUGGGAAGGCCCAGACAGCCAGGAUGUUGGCUUAGAAGCAGCCAUCAUUUAAAGAAAGCGUAAUAGCUCACUGGUCGAGUCGGCCUGCGCGGAAGAUGUAACGGGGCUAAACCAUGCACCGAAGCUGCGGCAGCGACACUAUGUGUUGUUGGGUAGGGGAGCGUUCUGUAAGCCUGUGAAGGUGGCCUGUGAGGGUUGCUGGAGGUAUCAGAAGUGCGAAUGCUGACAUAAGUAACGAUAAAGCGGGUGAAAAGCCCGCUCGCCGGAAGACCAAGGGUUCCUGUCCAACGUUAAUCGGGGCAGGGUGAGUCGACCCCUAAGGCGAGGCCGAAAGGCGUAGUCGAUGGGAAACAGGUUAAUAUUCCUGUACUUGGUGUUACUGCGAAGGGGGGACGGAGAAGGCUAUGUUGGCCGGGCGACGGUUGUCCCGGUUUAAGCGUGUAGGCUGGUUUUCCAGGCAAAUCCGGAAAACCAAGGCUGAGGCGUGAUGACGAAGCACUACGGUGCUGAAGCGACAAAUGCCCUGCUUCCAGGAAAAGCCUCUAAGCAUCAGGUAACAUCAAAUCGUACCCCAAACCGACACAGGUGGUCAGGUAGAGAAUACCAAGGCGCUUGAGAGAACUCGGGUGAAGGAACUAGGCAAAAUGGUGCCGUAACUUCGGGAGAAGGCACGCUGAUAUGUAGGUGAAGCGACUUGCUCGUGGAGCUGAAAUCAGUCGAAGAUACCAGCUGGCUGCAACUGUUUAUUAAAAACACAGCACUGUGCAAACACGAAAGUGGACGUAUACGGUGUGACGCCUGCCCGGUGCCGGAAGGUUAAUUGAUGGGGUUAGCGGUAACGCGAAGCUCUUGAUCGAAGCCCCGGUAAACGGCGGCCGUAACUAUAACGGUCCUAAGGUAGCGAAAUUCCUUGUCGGGUAAGUUCCGACCUGCACGAAUGGCGUAAUGAUGGCCAGGCUGUCUCCACCCGAGACUCAGUGAAAUUGAACUCGCUGUGAAGAUGCAGUGUACCCGCGGCAAGACGGAAAGACCCCGUGAACCUUUACUAUAGCUUGACACUGAACAUUGAGCCUUGAUGUGUAGGAUAGGUGGGAGGCUUUGAAGUGUGGACGCCAGUCUGCAUGGAGCCGACCUUGAAAUACCACCCUUUAAUGUUUGAUGUUCUAACGUUGGCCCGUAAUCCGGGUUGCGGACAGUGUCUGGUGGGUAGUUUGACUGGGGCGGUCUCCUCCUAAAGAGUAACGGAGGAGCACGAAGGUUGGCUAAUCCUGGUCGGACAUCAGGAGGUUAGUGCAAUGGCAUAAGCCAGCUUGACUGCGAGCGUGACGGCGCGAGCAGGUGCGAAAGCAGGUCAUAGUGAUCCGGUGGUUCUGAAUGGAAGGGCCAUCGCUCAACGGAUAAAAGGUACUCCGGGGAUAACAGGCUGAUACCGCCCAAGAGUUCAUAUCGACGGCGGUGUUUGGCACCUCGAUGUCGGCUCAUCACAUCCUGGGGCUGAAGUAGGUCCCAAGGGUAUGGCUGUUCGCCAUUUAAAGUGGUACGCGAGCUGGGUUUAGAACGUCGUGAGACAGUUCGGUCCCUAUCUGCCGUGGGCGCUGGAGAACUGAGGGGGGCUGCUCCUAGUACGAGAGGACCGGAGUGGACGCAUCACUGGUGUUCGGGUUGUCAUGCCAAUGGCACUGCCCGGUAGCUAAAUGCGGAAGAGAUAAGUGCUGAAAGCAUCUAAGCACGAAACUUGCCCCGAGAUGAGUUCUCCCUGAGACUUAGAGUCUCCUGAAGGAACGUUGAAGACGACGACGUUGAUAGGCCGGGUGUGUAAGCGCAGCGAUGCGUUGAGCUAACCGGUACUAAUGAACCGUGAGGCUUAACCUU
rnacentral:rRNA from 1 species